rnacentral:rRNA from 1 species
UGCACCCUGGGGGCAAACUUUGUUGCAGCGAUGCCGCGUGCAGUGAAGAAGGCCCUUGGGUUGUAAGCUCUUUCGUCGGGGAAGAAAAUGACUGUCCCCGAAUAAGANGGUCCGGCUAACUUCGUGCCAGCAGCCGCGGUAAUACGAAGGGACCUAGCGUAGUUCGGAAUUACUGGGCUUAAAGAGUUCGUAGGUGGUUGAAAAAGUUGGUGGUGAAAUCCCAGAGCUUAACUCUGGAACUGCCAUCAAAACUUUUCAGCUAGAGUUUGAUAGAGGAAAGCAGAAUUUCUAGUGUAGAGGUGAAAUUCGUAGAUAUUAGAAAGAAUACCAAUUGCGAAGGCAGCUUUCUGGAUCAUUACUGACACUGAGGAACGAAAGCAUGGGUAGCGAAGAGGAUUAGAUACCCUCGUAGUCCAUGCCGUAAACGAUGUGUGUUAGACGUUGGAAAUUUAUUUUCAGUGUCGCAGCGAAAGCGAUAAACACACCGCCUGGGGAGUACGACCGCAAGGUUAAAACUCAAAUGAAUUGACGGGG